rnacentral:rRNA from 1 species
UACGAAGGGGGCGAGCGUUGUUCGGAUUUACUGGGCGUAAAGGGCGCGCAGGCGGCUCAUUUUGUCAGGCGUGAAAGCCCCGGGCUUAACCUGGGAGGUGCGUUUGAUACGGAUGGGCUAGAGUUCGGGAGAGGAGAGUGGAAUUCCCAGUGUAGAGGUGAAAUUCGUAGAUAUUGGGAAGAACACCGGUGGCGAAGGCGGCUCUCUGGACCGAGACUGACGCUGAGGCGCGACAGCGUGGGGAGCAAACGGG